rnacentral:rRNA from 1 species
UGGGGAAUUUUGGACAAUGGGGGAAACCCUGAUCCAGCCAUCCCGCGUGUGCGAUGAAGGCCUUCGGGUUGUAAAGCACUUUUGGCAGGAAAGAAACGUCAUGGGUUAAUACCCCGUGAAACUGACGGUACCUGCAGAAUAAGCACCGGCUAACUACGUGCCAGCAGCCACGGUAAUACGUAGGGUGCAAGCGUUAAUCGGAAUUACUGGGCGUAAAGCGUGCGCAGGCGGUUCGGAAAGAAAGAUGUGAAAUCCCAGAGCUCAACUUUGGAACUGCAUUUGUAACUACCGGGCUAGAGUGUGUCAGAGGGAGGUGGAAUUCCGCGUGUAGCAGUGAAAUGCGUAGAUAUGCGGAGGAACACCGAUGGCGAAGGCAGCCUCCUGGGAUAACACUGACGCUCAUGCACGAAAGCGUGGGGAGCAAACAGG